rnacentral:rRNA from 1 species
UACGUAGGGGGCAAGCGUUGUCCGGAAUCAUUGGGCGUAAAGCGCGUGUAGGCGGCUCGAUAAGUCUGCUGUGAAAGUCCAAGGCUCAACCUUGGGAUGCCGGUGGAUACUGUCGAGCUCGAGUCCGGAAGAGGAGAGUGGAAUUCCCGGUGUAGCGGAUGAAAUGCGCAGAUAUCGGGAAGAACACCCGUGGCGAAGGCGGCUCUCUGGGACGGUACUGACGCUGAGACGCGAAAGCGUGGGGAGCGAACAGG